GAAAAAUGAACCAUGUAAUGAAGUGUUCCUAUGUUUAUUAACAAUGUUUGGUUGAGUUGUGCAGUAUGGUGUAUAACAUAAUCAUUGUGCCCCACAGAUUAUACAAAAACUCUCAACCAGACAACCGGACUUGCAGAGCAGAAGGAAUCUGCUCAACGAAAUUGCGGUCGAGAAUGGAAUCGCCUUACAACCCCAUGAAACCUCUGUUUCCGCUACUGAUGAAAAUUUGGAGGUGG